GCCACACACAGGUUCGCCUUCUGCAUCAGUCUGGUUGAGUGAGUUCCACACUUGUGAGGGGGUGACUGAGAGGCAAAGACUAUGUCAUCCUUUGCCAAAAUUAUUGGGUGUUUAAAACAUCUUCCAAGAUGCUUUCUGCUGUUUUAUAUGCCUGGUUAAGAACUCCGCUCCAAGAGAAACAAAUUUGAAGAUGAUCCAUGGAGUGAAACUCUACCCCAUGCCUCUUCUCCCGCUUUAAUGAGAAACAUCAUUCUGCGUUCAGAAGAUACCCAAACAUUUCGUAUGUAUAUGUCUUUGCCCUCACUGACCGCGAUGAAGAGAGAGCUCUCUCUUUAAGCCAGUGGCUCUCAAACUUGAGGCUGCUUCCGAAUCAAAGAAGACCUUUGUUAAAAUGCAGUUUGUUGAGUUCCACCCUCAGAGUUUCUGAUUUAGUAGGUCUGGGGUGGGGCCUGAGAAUUUGUGUUUCUAGCAAGUUCCCAGGAGAGGGGGAUGGAUCCCGGGACGUCCUUUGAGGACCUCUAUUAGAAGCAAACCUGCGAGUUCAAUGAGAACGCUUCUACGGUUUCUUCAGUAUCUCAGUUUUCUCCGAAGCACAGUUUCACAGGUACGUGAAAAUUGGAUCUGAAGUAUGUGGUUGGAAAAGGAAGCCCAGAAUAUUGUAGGCUGAUGGAGCAAUUAUGGAGAAGUUCCAAGCGAAACAGGAUGAUCAACUUCACAGAACACACACCUGAAUGAAUCUAUUGAACACAGCAUUUGAGGCACCUCAGCUGUGAGGCAUCAGACAUCACACCCAGGAUGAUUCAGUGAAUGAGCUCAUGGAGGCAGAAAUAGAAUAUGAUUGUAAACAAACACACAAACAAACAGCAGAAACAGAAUCCACUGUGAUGUACCGUGAUUUGGAAAGGGGGCACAGAAAGGGCGAUGGAGAACCAGAAGUCCGUCAUGUCCUUGAGAGAGGAUGUCUUGGCUGCUUGGAGGAACAGCAUCUGGGCCUUUUGGACUAUACUGCGGAGAUGCAGGCAUCAGCCUGUUGGGGACCAUUUCACAUUCAGCUGAGCAUCCUUCCUCUGUGGAAAAUAGAGCUUCUAUUCAAGGACCAAACUUCACCAUGACAAAUGACUCUGGUUUUAAACCAUUUCCAAGAGAAGGGUCACGUGUUCCUGUGUACCCAGAAGCUACGUCCUGCGUUCCCACAGUCCAAACACUACACCUACUAUGUGGGAGCAAUCACAGCGAAAGACAGAGACACUUGUUAAGCAUCGAGUGUCUCAUACAGUGAGAUGAGACGCUCAUGCUGUUGAGAGAUAGGUCUAAUGAUCUGGUUCUUUGUUUUCCCCUGAAAAAGAAAUUUCAAAAUAUAGAGCAUGUCACAAAGAAGGGUUUCCAAAUUGACUCAAAAAAAGAUAAAUAAUGACAGAAAGAAAUAAUGGUAAUUUGUUAAACAGGUUCGAAUGUGUCUGAAAAUUAUGACUGUAAAUAGUCAAAAAUUAAAUACAUAUAAUAAGAAUAAAAGAUAAGACAUGUUAGUUAUACUAUUAACCAUUGUAAAAUGAAUUAUUGUUUACAUUUAUGGCAUAUCUAUGGCAUAUUUAUGGCUUCCCAGGCGGCACUAGCAGUAAAGAACCUGACUGCCAGUGCAGGAGAUGUAAGAGAUGCGGGUUCAAUCCCUCCGUUGGGAAAUUCCCCUGGAGGAGGGCGUGGCGACCCACUCCGGUACUCUUGCCUGGAGAAACCCAUGGACAGAGGAGCCUGUUGGGCUACAUUCCAUAGUGUCGCAAAGAGUCAGAUAGGACUGAGGCAUCUUAGCACUUAUCCAUAAAACCUAAGAUAAUACACUGAAAUACUAUUUCUAUCAAUAAAAAUUAAUUGUUUAAAAAAAAUUUUGGCUGCUCCACACAGCGUAUCGGAUCUUAGUUCCCCUACUGGAAUGGAACCUCUGCUUUCUGUAGUGGAAACACAAUCUCAACUCCUGGACUGCCAGGCAAGUCCCAUGACCAGGUUCUUUAAUUGGCCUUUCUUUAUAUAAAUCUCUUUCGCUUAGUGCUUAUGUGUACAGAAAACUGUCAUUUCUGUAACCUCACUUUCUCAGGGAAGUGGAUUCAGAGAAUUAAGGUGACUCAAGGUCACAUUUCUUAAAAUGAUCAGAGUCAGAGCCCCUGACUUUGAAUUGAGGUUCUGCUGCUUAGAUCCAAGUGUCUUUUGAUAAGCGAUAUUUCUGUGUUGUGUUUUCAUUGCCUUUAUGUCCUGAGUGGUUGCAUUUUAUGGCAUGACUCACUAAAAUUAUGAGCUUAAGUCUCCAAUGUGAGCCCCCCAACUCCACCUUGCCUCAGGGCAAGUAUUCACAAGGAGGAGUAGCUUAUGAGCUUGGGUUCUGCGGGAGCCGGAAAGCUCUGCAAGGAACCGAGUCCAGACUAGUGGACAGGAAGCCUUCAGGUGUUUAGACCCCCUUGUCCUACACGGAGCUUUCUGGCUCGGCUCUGUGCCAGGCCUUCUUACUGUCUUUCCUCCCCUUGGCAUAAGGCAAGGACUUACGUUUGAUGUUAAUGAGAGUGUGUUCGUGUUAAGUCGCUUCAGUUGUGUCCGACUUAAUGCAAGUGGAGCAAUAUAAUUCCCUUCCCCUGCUCACCAAUAGAGAGAGACCCUUUGGAGAAGAAACAAGCUUGAUGCACGUUGCUAAAAAUGUGUCUCGUGUUUGAUGGAUAUAAAUCUGAACGGUAAAUCUGCCUCACUGCCCGCUGACAUCAGUCUUCUCCUCUUCCACUUUACGAGACUGUAAAAAGCUUCUGAAGUGUCACCUUCUAACACAUGGCAAUGCAGACCAAUGGGUGCUGCUAAUAAAACCACCCUUGAAAGCUUGGGCUAUGGGCCUGGUGACAGCAGGAUAGCUGCCUGCUGAGCGGGUAGUCUCUGAGUAUUUACUACUUGUUCUUUCCACUUUGAUGAGGAGGAGGGAGGUGAGACCAUGAAUGGCAGCGAACAUAGGUGAUCACAAGGAAGGAUGUGGUCCAGAGAUGGGGGGUGGGAGAUUAUCUUUAAACUGAUACUACAUUUAAAAUUACAAAGGCCCUGAGAUUUAAAAAUAUAGUUGCCUUUGGGGUGCUGAUUAUAUUUACUAAUUUUUGAUAAAUAGAUCACUGUGUUCUUGUUAUUGUUGUUCAGUUGCUACGUUAUGGCUGACUCUUUGCGACCCCAUGGACUUCAGCCCUCCAGGCUCCCCUGUCCUUCACUGUCUCCCAGAGUUGGCUCAA